AGUGAACGCUGGCGGCAGGCCUAACACAUGCAAGUCGAACGGAUGGUUUCGGCCAUCAGUGGCGCACGGGUGAGUAACGCGUGGGAAUCUGCCCGGCAGUGGGGGAUAACCUCUGGAAACGGAGGCUAAUACCGCAUACGCCCCUUGGGGGAAAGGCUUGCUGCUGUCGGAGGAGCCCGCGUCGGAUUAGGUAGUUGGUGGGGUAACGGCCUACCAAGCCUGUGAUCCGUAGCUGGUCUGAGAGGAUGAUCAGCCACACUGGGACUGAGACACGGCCCAGACUCCUACGGGAGGCAGCAGUGGGGAAUAUUGGACAAUGGGCGCAAGCCUGAUCCAGCAAUGCCGCGUGAGUGAUGAAGGCCUCGGUUGUAAGCGUCUUCGUCCACCGACGAUGAUGACGGUAGUGGGAGAA
rnacentral:rRNA from 1 species